UGUGGGAGCGAGCCUGCUCGCGAUAGCGGUGGGUCAGUCAACAUCCAUAUCGACUGACAGUGCGCCAUCGCGAGCAGGCUCGCUCCCACA
rnacentral:misc_RNA from 1 species